rnacentral:rRNA from 1 species
GACAGAGGGUGCAAACGUUGCUCGGAAUUACUGGGCGUAAAGCGCGUGUAGGCGGGCUUGUAAGUCGGAUGUGAAAUCCCUGAGCUCAACUCAGGAACUGCAUUCGAAACUGCAAGUCUGGAGUGGUGGAGAGGGAAGCAGAAUUCCUGGUGUAGAGGUGAAAUUCGUAGAUAUCAGGAGGAACACCGGUGGCGAAGGCGGCUUCCUGGACACUUACUGACGCUGAGACGCGAAAGCGUGGGGAGCAAACAGG